CGUCGUUAACUUUUACAAAAAUCUUCUCCUCUGAAACUACUGGGCCAAAUUAAACCAAACUUGGCCACAAUCAUCAUUGGGGUAUCUAGUUUAAAAAAAUAUGUCCGGUGACCCGGCCAACCAUCCAAGAUGGCCGCCAUGGCUAAAAAUAGAACAUAGGGGUAAAAUGCAGUUUUUGGCUUAUAACUCAAAAACCAAAGCAUUUAGAGCAAAUCUGACAUGGGGUAGAAUUGUUAAACAGGUGAAGAUCUAUCUGCCCUGAAAUUUUCAGAUGAAUCGGAUAACCCGUUGUUGGGUUGCUGCCCCUGAAUUAGUAAUUUUAAGGAAAUUUUGCUGUUUUUGGUUAUUAUCUUGAAUAUUAUUAUAGAUAGAGAUAAACAGUAAACAUCAAUAAUGUUCAGCAAAGUAAGAUUUACAAAUAAGUCAACAUGACUGAAAUGGUCAGUUGACCCCUUUAGGAGUUAUUGCCCUUUAUAGUCAAUUUUUAACCAUUUUUCGUAAAUCUUAGUAAUAUUUUACAAAAAAUCUUCUCCUCUGAAACUACUGGGCCAAAUUAAUCCAAACUUGGCCACAAUCAUCUUUUGGGUUAGUAGUUUGAAAAUUGUGUCCGGUGACCCGGUCAUCAAACCAAGAUGGCUGCCAUGGCUAAAAAUAGAACAUGGGGUAAAAUGCAGUUUUUGGCUUAUAACUCAAAACCCAAAGCAUUUAGAGCAAAUCUGACAUGGGGGUAAAAUUGUUUAUCAGUUCAAGAUCUAUCUGCCCUGAAAUUUUCAGAUGAAUCGGACAACCCGUUGUUGGGUUGCUGGCCCUGAAUUAGUGAUUUUAAGGAAAUUUUGCUCUUUUUGGUUAUUAUCUUGAAUAUUAUUAUAGAUAGAGAUAAACUAUAAACAGCAAUAAUGUUCACCAAAGUAAGAUUUACAAAUAAGUCAACAUGACUGAAAUGGUCAGUUGACCCCUUUAGGAGUUAUUGCCCUUUAUAGUCAAUUUUUAACCAUUUUUCGUAAAUCUUAGUAAUCUUUUACAAAAAUCUUUUCCUCUGAAACUACUGGGCCAAAUUAAUCCAAACUUGGCCACAAUCAUCUUUUGGGUUAGUAGUUUGAAAAAUGUGUCCGGUGACCCAGCCAUCCAACCAAGAUGGCCGUCAUGGCUAAAAAUAGAACAUGGGGUAAAAUGCAGUUUUGGGCUUAUAACUCAAAACCCAAAGCAUUUAGAGCAAAUCUGACAUGGAGUAAAAUUGUUUAUCAGGUCAACAUUUAUCUGCUCUGAAAUUUUUAGAUGAAUCGGACAACCCGUUGUUGGGUUGCUGACCCUAAAUUGUUAGUUUUAAGGAAAUUUUGCUGUUUUUGGUCAUUAUCUUGAAUAUUAUUAUUGAUAGAGAUAAACUGUAAACAACAAUAAUGUUCAGCAAAGUAAGAUUUACAAAUAAGUCAACAUGACCGAAAUGGUCAAUUGACCCCCUUAGGAGUUAUUAUUCUUUAUAGUCAAUUUUUAACAAUUUUCAUAAAAUUUGUAAAUUUUUACUAACAUUUUCCACUGAAACUAAUGGGCCAAGUUCAUUAUAGAUAGAGAUAAUUUUAAGCAGCAAGAAUGUUCAGUAAAGUAAGAUGUACAAACACAUUACCAUCACCAAAACACAAUUUUGUCAUGAAUCCAUCUGCUUCCUUUAAUAUUCACAUAGACCAAGGUGAGCGACACAGGCUCUUUAGAGCCUCUAGUUUCAUCAAUCAAAGUAGGGAUAUUCUCUUGGUAGUAAUAGUAUGAUUUUGAACCAUGUCAUGUUAAAUAAAAUGAUCAAGUGAUUUUUCCAAACAAAC
rnacentral:lncRNA from 1 species